GCGAGUGAGCGGCAAAAGCUCAAAUUUGAAAUCUGGCGUCUUCGACGUCCGAGUUGUAAUUUGAAGAAGGCGACUUUGUAGCUGGUCCUUGUCUAUGUUCCUUGGAACAGGACGUCAUAGAGGGUGAGAAUCCCGUGUGGCGAGGAUCCCAGUUAUUUGUAAAGUGCUUUCGACGAGUCGAGUUGUUUGGGAAUGCAGCUCUAAGUGGGUGGUAAAUUCCAUCUAAAGCUAAAUAUUGGCGAGAGACCGAUAGCGAACAAGUACAGUGAUGGAAAGAUGAAAAGAACUUUGAAAAGAGAGUGAAAAAGUACGUGAAAUUGUUGAAAGGGAAGGGCAUUUGAUCAGACAUGGCGUUUGCUUCGGCUUUCGCUGGGCCAGCAUCAGUUUUAGCGGUUGGAUAAAUCCUCGGGAAUGUGGCUCUGCUUCGGUAGAGUGUUAUAGCCCGUGGGAAUACAGCCAGCUGGGACUGAGGAUUGCGACUUUUGUCAAGGAUGCUGGCGUAAUGGUUAAAUGCCGCCCGUCUA
rnacentral:rRNA from 1 species